rnacentral:lncRNA from 1 species
UCCAGUGACCAGAAAGGGCCUGUGUUAUGUUUCUACAACAUCUGUUAUCAUGUAAAAGAGAAGAGAGGCUUCCUGUUUAAACAGAAAAUAACUGAGAAAAGGAUACUAUCAGAUAUCAAUGGGAUCAUGAACCCUGGCCUUAAUGCCAUUGUGGGACCCUCAGUUUCAGGCAAUACUUUGUGAGUAUAAAAGAAGGUGUAAGUAAGCCUUUUUGGCUGCA